GACGAACGCUGGCGGCAUGCUUAACACAUGCAAGUCGAACGGAAAGGCCUCUUUCGGGGGGUACUCGAGUGGCGAACGGGUGAGUAACACGUGAGUAACCUGCCCUUGUCUUUGGGAUAACUUCAGGCAACUGGGGCUAAUACCGGAUAGGAGCUCCUGCUGCAUGGAGGGGGUUGGAAAGUUUCGGCGGUUGGGGAUGGACUCGCGGCUUAUCAGCUUGUUGGUGGGGUAGUGGCUUACCAAGGCUUUGACGGGUAGCCGGCCUGAGAGGGUGACCGGCCACAUUGGGACUGAGAUACGGCCCAGACUCCUACGGGAGGCAGCAGUGGGGAAUAGUGCAAAAUGGGUGGAAGCCUGAUGCAGCAACGCCGUGUGCGGGAUGACGGCCUUCGGGUUGUAAACCGCUUUCGCUCAUGACGAAGCUUUGUGUGACGGUAGUGGGUAAAGAAGCACCGGCUAACUACGUG
rnacentral:rRNA from 1 species